GAGAGAACUCAGGAGAAGGAACUCGGCAAAUUAACACCGUAACUUCGGGAGAAGGUGUGCCCUUGUAGGGUGAAGUCCCUUGCGGAUGGAGCUCGAAAGGGUUGCAGUGAAAAGGUGGCUGCGACUGUUUAUUAAAAACACAGCACUCUGCAAACACGAAAGUGGACGUAUAGGGUGUGACGCCUGCCCGGUGCUGGAAGAUUAAAUGAUGGGGUGCAAGCUCUUGACUGAAGUCCCAGUAAACGGCGGCCGUAACAAUAACGGUCCUAAGGUAGCGAAAUUCCUUGUCGGGUAAGUUCCGACCCGCACGAAUGGCGUAACGAUGGCCACACUGUCUCCUCCUGAGACUCAGCGAAGUUGAAAUGUUUGUGAAGAUGCAAUCUCCCCGCUGCUAGACGGAAAGACCCCGUGAACCUUUACUGUAGCUUUGCAUUGGACUUUGAACAGACUUGUGUAGGAUAGGUGGGAGGCUUUGAAGUGGGAACGCCAGUUCUCAUGGAGCCGUCCUUGAAAUACCACCUGGUGUGUUUGAGGUUCUAA
rnacentral:rRNA from 1 species